rnacentral:rRNA from 1 species
UGGGGAAUUUUCCGCAAUGGGCGAAAGCCUGACGGAGCAACGCCGCGUGAGGGAUGAAGGCCUCUGGGCUGUAAACCUCUUUUCUCAAGGAAGAAGAUCUGACGGUACUUGAGGAAUAAGCCACGGCUAAUUCCGUGCCAGCAGCCGCGGUAAUACGGGAGUGGCAAGCGUUAUCCGGAAUUAUUGGGCGUAAAGCGUCCGCAGGCGGCCUGAAAAGUCUGCUGUUAAAGCGUGGAGCUUAACUCCAUUUCAGCAGUGGAAACUGUCAGGCUUGAGUGUGGUAGGGGCAGAGGGAAUUCCCGGUGUAGCGGUGAAAUGCGUAGAUAUCGGGAAGAACACCAGUGGCGAAAGCGCUCUGCUGGGCCAUAACUGACGCUCAUGGACGAAAGCCAGGGGAGCGAAAGGG